UACGUAGGGUGCAAGCGUUGUCCGGAAUUAUUGGGCGUAAAGAGCUCGUAGGCGGUUUGUCACGUCGGCUGUGAAAACCCGAGGCUCAACCUCGGGCCUGCAGUCGAUACGGGCAGACUAGAGUAUGGCAGGGGAGACUGGAAUUCCUGGUGUAGCGGUGAAAUGCGCAGAUAUCGGGAGGAACACCAAUGGCGAAGGCAGCUCGCUGGGACGGUACUGACGCUGAGGCGCGAAAGCGUGGGGAGCAAACAGG
rnacentral:rRNA from 1 species